GACGAACGCUGGCGGCGUGCCUAAUACAUGCAAGUCGAGCGGAUCUGAUGAAGUGCUUGCACUUCUGAUGGUUAGCGGCGGACGGGUGAGUAACACGUAGGCAACCUGCCUGCAAGCCCGGGAUAACAUUCGGAAACGAAUGCUAAGACCGGAUACGCAGCUUGGUCGCAUGACUGAGCUGGGAAAGACGGAGCAAUCUGUCGCUUGUAGAUGGGCCUGCGGCGCAUUAGCUAGUUGGUGAGGUAACGGCCCACCAAGGCGACGAUGCGUAGCCGACCUGAGAGGGUGAACGGCCACACUGGGACUGAGAUACGGCCCAGACUCCUGCGGGAGGCAGCAGUAGGGAAUCUUCCACAAUGGACGCAAGUCUGAUGGAGCAACGCCGCGUGAGUGAGGAAGGCCUUCGGGUCGUAAAGCUCUGUUGCCAGGGAAGAACGCCUAGGAGAGUAACUGCUCUUAGGGUGACGGUACCUGAGAAGAAAGCCCCGGCUAACUACGUGCCAGCCGCCGCGGUAAAAC
rnacentral:rRNA from 1 species